UUCCCAGGACAUGUGAAGGACAGCCACAUGAUGGCAGUGCUGCAUCUGAUAUGCUACGAACGCCGAUCACCGCUACCGCGUUUCCCAGAGCGAUGCUCAGUCUCAGACAUGGAGCAGGAGAUGAUGUCAAAUAGCAGAGCAAUAAACUGACAGGAUUUCUGGCUCAAACUGACAACUCACCGCAGAGAUUAUACACAGGAGUCAGACAUGAYGCUCUCCCAGAAGCAAGAAGUUCCUCCGGCUAGCUCCAGGCUCAUUCCUGCCUGGAUCCCCGAAGGAUGGAGAACACAUUCAGACUGUGAUUCACCRCGAAAAACAAAUACAUCACAAGUGACUGGCUCUGCAUAACUCUGUCAAAAAACACCAGGAGAUUUGUUCCUGAGUUUGUUGUGAACAGCAGAGCUGAACUCCAUCUCCCCAUCUCAGAAACUGCAGCUGCUCAAAUCCAACACCCAGCCAGACAGAAAACUCAGAACAAUCAGUUAUUGACAUAUAAUUUGUACAAGUGUGUCCUUUUUCCAAAAUAUUAGUUUCUUUACUUGAUUUAAGUUCAGCAAGAAGAAACUUGGGUAAGUUUAAAUUGUUUAUUAUCCUUUUUUGCUGCAG